CCAGACUCCUACGGGAGGCAGCAGUGGGGAAUAUUGCACAAUGGGGGGAACCCUGAUGCAGCGACGCCGCGUGGGCGAGGAAGUAUUUCGGUAUGUAAAGCCCUAUCGGCAGGGAAGAAGAAAUGACGGUACCUGAAUAAGAAGCACCGGCUAAAUACGUGCCAGCAGCCGCGGUAAUACGUAGGUGGCAAGCGUUAUCCGGAUUUAUUGGGUGUAAAGGGCGUGUAGGCGGGAAUGCAAGUCAGAUGUGAAAACUCAGGGCUCAACCCUGAGCCUGCAUUUGAAACUGUAUUUCUUGAGUGCUGGAGAGGCAAUCGGAAUUCCGUGUGUAGCGGUGAAAUGCGUAGAUAUUAGGAAGAACACCGGUGGCGAAGGCGACUUUCUGGACUGUAACUGACGUUGAGGCACGAAAGUGUGGGGAGCAAACAGGAUUAGAUACCCUCGUAGU
rnacentral:rRNA from 1 species